UACAGAGGGGGCGAGCGUUUGUUCGGAAUUACUGGGCGUAAAGGGCGCGUAGGCGGCCGUCUAAGUCGAACGUGAAAUCCCCGGGCUCAACCCGGGAACUGCGUCCGAUACUGGAAGGCUUGAAUCCGGGAGAGGGAUGUGGAAUUCCAGAUGUAGCGGUGAAAUGCGUAGAUAUCUGGAGGAACACCGGUGGCGAAGGCGACAUCCUGGACCGGUAUUGACGCUGAGGCGCGAAAGCCAGGGGAGCAAACGGG
rnacentral:rRNA from 1 species